UACGUAGGGCGCAAGCGUUGUCCGGAAUUAUUGGGCGUAAAGAGCUCGUAGGUGGCGUGUCGCGUCUGCCGUGAAAGCCCAUGGCUUAACUGUGGGUCUGCGGUGGAUACGGGCAGGCUGGAGGCUGGUAGGGGCAAGCGGAAUUCCUGGUGUAGCGGUGAAAUGCGCAGAUAUCAGGAGGAACACCGGUGGCGAAGGCGGCAUCCUGGACCAACACUGACACUGAGGAGCGAAAGCCAGGGGAGCAAACGGG
rnacentral:rRNA from 1 species